rnacentral:lncRNA from 1 species
AUAGAUUUAAACCAGCUCCGCAAAGCCAGGGCAGGUUUUUAAAUCAAAACCUGGGCUUCGGGUUCCUUUUGUUAGCAAAAUGCCCUUACUUGAUGGAACACCAAAACCUCAUUAAAUUGCAAACACUGGACUAUACAAGAUGGAGAAUGAGCAAUUCCACUUAAAGGCUGCAGCUCUCCACACGUUGCCCCAGAAGGACAAUGAGUUCUAAAGGUCAGGGUUACACAUGGCGUGUUACGAAGACUAUCCCCAUCUUAUGGAGGAGGAUGCUGGAGUUCAAAAAGUCAAGACUGGAAGAGCCCUCAUAAGGGGCAGGAGAGCGACCAGGCGGAAGGUCUUAGCAGGAGCGCUGCCUGUUCCAUUUGCUAAUGAAGAUCAGCCAGGACUCUUGAGGGCCCCUCUCUCUGCCAUGAGCAGGCAUCUCACUGAGUUAAGAAUGCAGCUUCAGAAGCCUAUAUUUC